GACAGAGGGUGCAAACGUUGUUCGGAAUUACUGGGCGUAAAGCGUGUGUAGGCGGUCUACUAAGUCGGGUGUGAAAGCCCUGGGCUCAACCCAGGAAGUGCACUCGAAACUGGCAGGCUAGAGUACUGGAGAGGUUGGUGGAAUUCUCGGUGUAGAGGUGAAAUUCGUAGAUAUCGAGAGGAACACCGGUGGCGAAGGCGGCCAACUGGACAGAUACUGACGCUGAGACACGAAAGCGUGGGGAGCAAACAGG
rnacentral:rRNA from 1 species